UACGAAGGGGGCUAGCGUUGCUCGGAAUGACUGGGCGUAAAGGGCUCGUAGGCGGCCAACUAAGUCGGACGUGAAAUCCCUCAGCUUAACUGGGGAACUGCGUCCGAUACUGGAUGGCUUGGAUUUGGGAGAGGGAUGCGGAAUUCCAGGUGUAGCGGUGAAAUGCGUAGAUAUCGAGAGGAACACCUGCGGCGAAGGCGGGUUGCUGGGCUGACACUGACGCUGAGGCGCGAAAGCUAGGGGAGCGAACGGG
rnacentral:rRNA from 1 species